rnacentral:sRNA from 1 species
AAACCAUAACAUGUUUGGGAAAAGGAACCGACUAAGACGUAGCUUAAAGCUCAAGUAAGUAAAAGAAGAGAAAUAAAAGAAAGCCAAAGAAGAAGAUUAAAAACGCAGUAUAAGUAUAAGGAUUCGCUGCAUCACACAAACCGACAAAACUAAAAGGGAUUUUGAGGUAGCAGUUGUUGCGACACAUUUUCUGAAUUCACUCGACGAGUGGAAUGACCGGUAGCUUGCUUGAGCUACAAAUCUCUAUCAUGAACCCGA